rnacentral:rRNA from 1 species
AGAGGGUAAUAGCCCAGAUCACCAGAUAAGGCCCCCAAAUAACUACUAAGUGAUAAAGGAUGUAAAAACGCAUAGACGACCAGGAGGUUUGCUUAGAAGCAGCCAUCUUCCUUUAAAAAUUGCGUAAUAGCUUACUGGUUAAGUGUUUUUGCGCCAAUAAUGAACGGGGCUAAGUAGUUUGCCGAAGCUGUGAGUUAAUUACGGUAGGAGAGCGUUCUGUUUAGGCUGAAGCAGUAGUGUAAAUAGCUGUGGACUAUUCAGAAGUGAGAAUGUCGGCUUAAGUAACGAAAACAUUGGUGGGAAUCCAAUGCUCCGAAAACCUAAGGUUUCCUUCUCAAGGUUCGUCCAAGAAGGGUUAGUCAGAUUCUAAGAUGAAGUCUAGUGACUUAUUCGAUGAUAAACAGGUUAAUAUUCCUGUACUACAUUGUGGAAUCAAUUAAGGAAGACAAAGUAAGUUAGGUUUGCCAAAGAAUGGUUGUUUUGGUUUAAACUUUCAAGGCGUAGACGGGUAUUAGGCAAAAAAUACUUUGAGCUGAGAAGUGAAAUUAAGGUACUACGGUACUGAAAUGGCUGAUAUUAUGCUUUCUAGAAAAUCCCUUGCAAUGGCAUUUCCGUGUAGCUGUACCGUAAACUGACACAGGUGGGUAGGUAGAAAAUACUAAGGAGAGCGAGUUAAAUCUUUUUAAGGAACUCGGCAAAUUAGCCUUGUAACUUCGGGAGAAAAGGUGCCUUAUUAAAAGUAAGGUUGCAGUGAAUUGUUCCAGGCGACUGCUUACCAAAAGCACAGGUCUCCGCUAAGUUGUAAAACGAUGUAUGGGGGCUGAUGCCUGCCCAGUGCUGGAAGGUAAAAGAAACUUGUUAGUGCUUUGCAUAAAGCUAGUGACUGAAGCCCCAGUAAACGGCGGUGAUAACUAUAAUCAUUUUAAAGUAGCGAAAUUCCUUGUCGGGUAAGUUCCGACCUGCACGAAAGGCAUAACGAUCUGGAAACUGUCUCAAAAAGAUUCUCGGUGAAAUAGAAUUAACUGUGAAGAUGCGGUUAACUUGCACUUGGACAGAAAGACCCUAUGAAGCUUUACUGUAAUCUGGUAUUGAUUUCGGACUUUUUUUGCGCAGUAUAGGUGGGAGGCAUUGAAGCAUUCUUUCGGGAAAUGUAGAGCCAAAAAUGAGAUACCACUCUGAAAAAGUUAGAGAUCUAAAGAUAUUCCUUCAAGAGGAUAUUUGACAGUUCCAGACGGGCAGUUUUACUGGGGCGGUAGCCUCCUAAAAAGUAACGGAGGCGUACAAAGGUUUUCUCAAACAGGCCGGAAAUUUGUUGUAGAGUGUAAAGGCAUAAGAAAGCUUAACUGUAAGACUCAUAAGUCAAGCAGGGACGAAAGUCGGUCUUAGUGAUCCGGCAGUUCCGAAUGUGAGGGCUGUCGCAUAACAGAUAAAAGUUACUCUAGGGAUAACAGGCUGAUCUCCUCCAAGAGUUCACAUCGACGAGGAGGUUUGGCACCUCGAUGUCGGCUCAUCGCAUCCUGGGGCAGUAGUAUGUCCCAAGGGUUGGGCUGUUCGCCCAUUAAAGCGGUACGUGAGCUGGGUUCAGAACGUCGAGAGACAGUUCGGUCCAUAUCCGGUGCAAGCGUAGGAGUAUUGAAAGGACCUUUUUCUAGUACGAGAGGACCGAAAAAGACACACCUCUGGUGUACCAGUUCUUAUGCCAAUAGGAUAUGCUGGGUAGUCAAGUGUGAAGUGGAUAACUGC